CCCCUAGAUGUUCUGGGCCGCACGCGCGCUACACUGAACAGUUCAACAAGUCUUAACCUUGGCCGAUAGGUCUGGGUAAUCUUUGAACGCUGUUCGUGAUUGGGAUAGACCUUUGCAAUUAUGGGUCUUCAACGAGGAAUUCCUAGUAAACGCAAGUCAUCAGCUUGCAUUGAUUACGUCCCUGCCCUUUGUACACACCGCCCGUCGCACCUACCGAUUGAAUGAUCCGGUGAGGCCCCCGGAAUGUGGUCACGGCUUUGGUUCGCCAAACUGAGAUCGCGUGAAGCUGUCCAAACCUUAUCAUUUAGAGGAAGGAGAANUCGUANCA
rnacentral:rRNA from 1 species